UGACCCCGUGACCCCGUCUCUCGCCCGGAACACAGCUGGAGAGGAACCAGCAACCCUCCUAACCCCAUUAGGGACGAAGGGUGAACAGGAAACGGACGGACAGACGGACUUCCAGCAGAUUAUUGCUGCUAUCCUGAAUCUCUCCUCACAUCCAAACCUGAAGGUCGGCGUGGGUCAGACACUGACCCCGCCCCCAAGUUCUACUGGGUCACACCGACUGGAGAUGAGGUGAUCUAUGCGCUGCUGGGCCUGUCAGAACCCGGAGCCUUGCUGAUCCAACGGGCUGAACCUUCAGACUCAGGUCUGACCUGGUUCUGAGCAGUUCUAACCGGGUUCUAGCUGGGUUCUCCAGAACCUGGAGCGUCUCGCUGUCGGUGGAACCGCCGGACAGCUGUCUGGUGGUUCUGGCUACGGUACCAAUCCGGUCCUGGUUCUGCUGCUGGGGCUCACCGGAACGUCCUGCUGAAUCGGCUCGGCGCCAGGCAGGUUCUGACCCACUGGAUCAGCGCCGUGGUCCACAGCAAAGAUCAGCUACAUGGCCCAGGUGAGGACCGGCCCACCUGUCCACUGACCCCCUGGCCCCACCCACAUUAACCAUUGGCCCCGCCCUCCUGGAUCAAAAAGCGGCUUUUCCUGUGGAAACUCUCAGCAGCGUUUCUCAAAUCGUGGCUCUGGGACUGUUGUGGGCCAUCAGCGGGUCCAGAUGGACAGUGAAGGUGUCAUGGCCGCCUGCAUGGCUUUGGCUUCUCUGGAUCAUAGAAUACGCCAAACUAACGCUUUAGUCUGAAAUUAACCCUCACUUCCUCUUGGCAAAUGAAACAGGAAGCUGUUCCCUUCCUAUUUCCUGUGAGUUCUGGCAUGAAGUCCAACAGAACCAGUCCAGCUGCUGAGCAGGUAGAACUCACCUCAGGUUGGACCUGCAGGCCUCCCUGCAGCGCCCUCUGCUGUCAGGAGGCUGUUUUAUUAUCCUCACACUUUAUACAGCAUAAUGUUUGACAGAAUUUCUGACAAAACACUGUAAACCUUUAUUGUUGUGAUGUCAUAAAUCCUAGAUAUAAAUCUGA